rnacentral:rRNA from 1 species
GGUCAAGUAAUGAAGUGCACAUGGUGGAUGCCUUGGCAGUCAGAGGCGAAGAAAGACGUGAUAGCCUGCGAUAAGCGUCGGUGAGGUGGCAAUAUCCUGUGACCCGGCGAUUUCUGAAUGGGGAAACCCAACCAACACAAGUUGGUUAUUACACAGUUUACUGUGUAAGGCAAACCGGGAGAAGUGAAACAUCUCAGUACCCCGAGGAAAAGACAUCAAAUGAGAUUCCGUAAGUAGCGGCGAGCGAACACGGAGGAGCCGAUCAAUUUUACAGUAGCAAAAUGGCGUGGGAAAGCCAACCAUAGUAGGUGAUAGUCCUGUAUGCGAAACUGUUUAAGCGACAUAUUAAGUAGGGCGGAACACGAGAAAUUCUGUCUGAAGAUGGGGGGACCAUCCUCCAAGGCUAAAUACUCCUGACUGACCGAUAGUGAACCAGUACCGUGAGGGAAAGGCGAAAAGAACCCCUGUUAGGGGAGUGAAAUAGAACCUGAAACCGUGUGCAUACAAGCAGUCGGAGCGGACUUGUUCCGUGACGGCGUACCUUUUGUAUAAUGGGUCAGCGACUUAUAUUCUGUAGCAAGGUUAACCGAAUAGGGGAGCCGUAGGGAAACCGAGUCUUAAUAGGGCGAAUGAGUUGCAGGGUAUAGACCCGAAACCGAGUGAUCUAUCCAUGAGCAGGUUGAAAGUGCCGUAACAGGCACCGGAGGACCGAACCCACUGUCGUUGAAAAGCCAGGGGAUGACUUGUGGAUAGGGGUGAAAGGCUAAUCAAACUCGGUGAUAGCUGGUUCUCCCCGAAAGCUAUUUAGGUAGCGCCUCGGACGAACACCAUUGGGGGUAGAGCACUGUUUCGGCUAGGGGGUCACACCGACUUACCAAACCGAUGCAAACUCCGAAUACCGAUGAGUGAUAUCCGGGAGACAGACGGCGGGUGCUAACGUCCGUCGUCAAGAGGGAAACAACCCAGACCGCCAGCUAAGGCCCCAAAUUCCUAGUUAAGUGGGAAACGAUGUGGGAAGGCACAGACAGCUAGGAGGUUGGCUUAGAAGCAGCCACCCUUUAAAGAAAGCGUAAUAGCUCACUAGUCGAGUCGGCCUGCGCGGAAGAUGUAACGGGGCUCAAACUAGGAGCCGAAGCUGCGGAUUUAAUUGUUUCAAUUAAGUGGUAGGGGAGCGUUGUGUAAGCCUGUGAAGGUGCACUGUAAGGUGUGCUGGAGGUAUCACAAGAGCGAAUGCUGACGUGAGUAACGACAAAACGGGUGAAAAGCCCGUUCGCCGGAAGACCAAGGGUUCCAGUCCAACGUUAAUCGGGGCUGGGUGAGUCGACCCCUAAGGCGAGGCCGAAAGGCGUAGUCGAUGGGAAAUCGGUUAAUAUUCCGAUACUUGUUUAUGAUGCGAUGGAGGGACGGAGAAGGUUAUGCCAGCCUGGCGAUGGUUGUCCAGGUGGAAGGAUGUAGUUAGACUGAGUAGGCAAAUCCGCUCGGUUAUUAAUGAGAUCUGAUAGCAAGCCAGUUUACUGGCGAAGUGGCAAAUACCCUGCUUCCAGGAAAAGCUUCUAAGCGAUAGUCAUAAACGAAUCGUACCCGAAACCGACACAGGUGGUCAGGUAGAGAAUACCAAGGCGCUUGAGAGAACUCUGCUGAAGGAACUAGGCAAAAUGGUACCGUAACUUCGGGAGAAGGUACGCUGCCGAUGGUGAUGAAACUUGCUUUCUGAGCUGUUGGCAGUCGCAGAUACCAGGCUGCUGCAACUGUUUAUUAAAAACACAGCACUCUGCAAACACGAAAGUGGACGUAUAGGGUGUGAUGCCUGCCCGGUGCUGGAAGGUUAAUUGAUGGGGUUAGCGUAAGCGAAGCUCUUGAUCGAAGCCCCAGUAAACGGCGGCCGUAACUAUAACGGUCCUAAGGUAGCGAAAUUCCUUGUCGGGUAAGUUCCGACCUGCACGAAUGGCAUAAUGAUGGCAGCGCUGUCUCCAGCAGAGACUCAGUGAAAUCGAAAUCGCAGUGAAGAUGCUGUGUACCCGCGGCUAGACGGAAAGACCCCGUGAACCUUUACUACAGCUUUACAUUGAACUUUGACCUAACUUGUGUAGGAUAGGUGGGAGGCUUUGAAGCAGAUACGCCAGUAUUUGUGGAGCCAACCUUGAAAUACCACCCUGGUUAUGUUGGGGUUCUAACUUAGAUAUAACAGUAUCAAGGACAAUGUAUGGUGGGUAGUUUGACUGGGGCGGUCUCCUCCUAAAGAGUAACGGAGGAGUACGAAGGUGCGCUCAGAACGGUCGGAAAUCGUUCAAAGAGUAUAAAGGCAAAAGCGCGCUUAACUGCGAGACCCACAAGUCGAGCAGGUACGAAAGUAGGUCUUAGUGAUCCGGUGGUUCUGUAUGGAAGGGCCAUCGCUCAACGGAUAAAAGGUACUCUGGGGAUAACAGGCUGAUACCGCCCAAGAGUUCAUAUCGACGGCGGUGUUUGGCACCUCGAUGUCGGCUCAUCUCAUCCUGGGGCUGAAGCAGGUCCCAAGGGUAUGGCUGUUCGCCAUUUAAAGAGGUACGCGAGCUGGGUUUAGAACGUCGUGAGACAGUUCGGUCCCUAUCUACCGUGGGCGUUGGAAAUUUGAGAGGAUCUGCUCCUAGUACGAGAGGACCAGAGUGGACGAACCUCUGGUGUUUCGGUUGUCACGCCAGUGGCAUUGCCGAGUAGCUACGUUCGGAUGGGAUAACCGCUGAAAGCAUCUAAGCGGGAAGCCCACCUCAAGAUGAGAUUUCCCUAAAGAGCCGUUGUAGACUACGACGUUGAUAGGUUGGGUGUGGAAGUGUAGUGAUACAUGUAGCUAACCAAUACUAAUUGCUCGUUUGGCUUGACCAU